AUGAGACCGAUAAAGAAACCGAGAGGCAGGGGGAGGAAGAGGGGGGGCCCACAGUCUCCCCAAGAGAAGGACGUCAAAAGAUUCAGGAGGGAGACACUCGUCAAGACGACAGAGCACACUACCAAAACACCGAGUGGUCCCGCCACACGCAAACAAACCCCGCCCACAGCCUGCGGCGCUAACAAGGAGCCAAUGAUUAGUGGCAGUGCACCCUCUGUAGGGCCUGCUGCAUUGAGGCAACCUGUGGAGUCGGCAGAGAAGGGCGAAAAGAAGCCACAAGAAAAGACGGAGAAAGAAGAAACGAUAGGCACAAAUGGAACUAGCGCUACGUCUGCAGAAAGCGCAGGUUCUUCUACCUCUCCCGCAGCGCCAGUGUCCACAGCCACAUCCCCUUCAGCCACAAAUCACAACCAUGUCACCGCCUCGGUCUCAAGUAGGAAAACAGCCACAUUCAAAGCCCGCAUCCCCAAGAAGAAAUAUACCUAUGAGCACUUUGUGAAUAACGCCCUGACUGCCAUUAAUACCUCCAGCUCUGCUCCUUCUAAAAACAACUGCAAUAUCAACAACAAAAUCAGUGACGGGAUCAACAAGAUCAAUAAUAUACAAGAUUGCAACAAUAUUAGUAAUGAUAAAGUGAUUAGUGCCAUCAGUAAUAUGGUCAAUAGUAGCAGGAAUAAUUGUAUGAAUAGCAUUUGCAGUAAAAGUAAAACUUGCUCAGGUAAUUCACCGCCACGGCUAACUGUGGGUAGUAAUGCAACACAAGCGAAGGACUUUGUGCCCAUGGAUAACAGGGCUAUACGGACAGAGGGCUCCCAGGAAAAAGAUGAAACCCCAAACUCAGUACACUCCUCGUCCACUGACACGGCCAGCGAUCACUCAGCUGACCUGGACGUGCUGGACGUAACAGGACCAAACCUUCAUCCAAAAAAUUCCCUCUUUUCCACCCCCCUUUGCCACUCAUCACCUAAGGAGGUCAGCCAUUUAGACAGACUAGCCCAAGCUCUGGCCAAAGGCAUGAAAAACCAGAGGGUUCUGGCUUGUCAGAAAAAGAAUGUAGAGAGUGGGGAGAAUGGGAAGGAUUUGGGUGCACUGUCCCGUGUGUUUAGGCCCGGCGUGGUGCGCAGCGUGAUCGCAGGGACAGUUGAAGUGCAGCUUCAAGGAGAAGACAGACUUGUUCGGUACCCAUUCCAUGGUGAGACUGUGAUUACAUCAUUACCCGAGGCCAAGAACACUGUGGAGUUAAUUUUGGAUGCCCCUCCUCCUGGCAUGGCACCUGUGGCUGUGGGAACACUAGUGUGCGUGCCAUUUGGUGGAGAAGAGGGGGGCCUCUACUUUACAGAGAGGGAACUGUGA
rnacentral:lncRNA from 1 species